rnacentral:rRNA from 1 species
GAUGAACGCUAGCGACAGGCUUAACACAUGCAAGUCGAGGGGCAGCACGGUGUAGCAAUACAUUGGUGGCGACCGGCGCACGGGUGAGUAACGCGUAUGCAACCUACCUAUCAGAGGGGAAUAACCCGGCGAAAGUCGGACUAAUACCGCAUAAAACAGGGGUUCCACAUGGAAAUAUUUGUUAAAGAUUUAUCGCUGAUAGAUGGGCAUGCGUUCCAUUAGAUAGUUGGUGAGGUAACGGCUCACCAAGUCUACGAUGGAUAGGGGUUCUGAGAGGAAGGUCCCCCACAUUGGAACUGAGACACGGUCCAA